AAUAGUGUGCUAGAUUCCGGUUGAUCCUGCCGGAGGUCACUGCUAUUGGGAUUCGACUAAGCCAUGCGAGUCGAGAGGGUUCGGCCCUCGGCUGACGGCUCAGUAACACGUGGAUAAUCUACCCUAAGGUGGAGGAUAACCUCGGGAAACUGAGAAUAAUACUCCAUAAGUCUAGGAUACUGGAAUGUACUUAGGCUGAAAACUUCGGUGCCCUAGGAUGAGUCUGCGGACUAUCAGGUUGUAGUCAGGGUAAAGACCUGACUAGCCUACAACGGAUACGGGUUGUGAGAGCAAUAACCCGGAGAUGAUAUCUGAGACACGAUAUCAGGCCCUACGGGGCGCAGCAGGCGCGAAAACUUCACACUGCGCGAAAGCGCGAUGAGGGAAUCCCAAGUGCUUGCACGUAAGUGUAAGCUGUUUCUAUGUCUAAAACGCAUAGAGAGUAAGAGCUGGGUAAGACGGGUGCCAGCCGCCGCGGUAAUACCUGCAGCUCAAGUGGUGGCCGUUAUUAUUGGGCCUAAAACGUCCGUAGCCGGUUUAUUAAAUGCCUGGGUAAAUCGGGCCGCUUAACGGUUCGAAUUCCGGGUAGACUGAUAAACUUGGGACCGGGAGAAGCUAGAGGUACUCCUGGGGUAGAGGUGAAAUUCUGUAAUCCUAGGGGGACCACCAGUGGCGAAGGCGUCUAGCUAGAACGGGUCUGACGGUGAGGGACGAAGCCCUGGGGCGCAAACCGGAUUAGAUACCCGGGUAGUCCAGGGUGUAAACGCUGCUUGCUUGAUGUUAGUCGGGCUCCGAGCCCGAUUAGUGUCGGAGAGAAGUUGUUAAGCAAGCUGCCUGGGAAGUACGGCCGCAAGACUGAAACUUAAAGGAAUUGGCGGGGGAGCACAGCAACGGGUGGAGCGUGCGGUUUAAUUGGAUUCAACGCCGGAAAGCUCACCGGAGGCGACGGUUAUAUGAAGGCCAAGCUGAUGACUUUGCCUGAUUUUCCGAGAGGUGGUGCAUGGCCGCCGUCAGUUCGUACCGUAAGGCGUUCUGUUAAGUCAGACAACGAACGAGACCCUCAUCUUUAAUUGCUACUGGUAAGUUCGCUUAUCAGGCACAUUAAAGAAACCGCUGGCGAUAAGUCAGAGGAAGGCGAGGGCAACGGUAGGUCAGUAUGCCCUGAAUCCUCCGGGCUACACGCGCGCUACAAAGGCUAGGACAAUGGGCUUCGACACCGAAAGGUGAAGGUAAUCUCGAAACCUAGUCAUAGUUCGGAUCGAGGGUUGUAACUCACCCUCGUGAAGCUGGAAUCCGUAGUAAUCGCGGAUCAACAUCCCGCGGUGAAUAUGCCCCUGCUCCUUGCACACACCGCCCGUCAAACCAUGCGAGUUGGGUCUGAGUGAGGCUAUAGUUUUUGCUACAGUCAAACUUAGGCUUAGUAAGCGGGGUUAAGUCGUAACAAGGUAUCCGUAGGGGAACCUGCGGAUGGAUCACCUCCUA
rnacentral:rRNA from 2 species